rnacentral:lncRNA from 1 species
UUGAAUGUGUAUGAUUGUGUAACAAAAACAACCAUGUCAAUUUCAGUAUGCAUGUUUAGUGAAUGUCGAGUCUGAAGCGUAGAACAACUCGUACACUCCUGUUUCAAAUUGAACAAUGUUUUGUUAUUUGUUUUUACUGUUGAAAUUAGUUGUUAUGUUAAAAUAGAUAAUUAUUCACUUUGAGCGAUGUAUUAUUGUUGACCAUUCGAGAUUCUUUUUUUGCGAACCCGUCUUCAGCUGAAUGUGUGAUUACUGUACAUCGUAUUACUACACGGGCCUCAAAGGAUUCAAAAAAAAAAUAAAUGCGAAACAUGUAUUUUUGUGUCUUUCAAAACACAAAUAAUAUACAGAAUUAAUUGCAGGAUAAAGACAAUAACUGUUUAGUGUCUUUAAAUAUCAUCUGUAUUUGUACUCGACUCGAAACAGGUGUAAUAGCUCGCUAAAAGCUCGC